GGUGUGGGAAAGAGAAAAAGGAUAGAGGGUGAGACAUAAAAUACAAUUAAUUGAAAUUCUAAGAGACUAUCUCUUUAUAUAGACCCUUCUUUGAUCCAAAUUAAGAACCAAUCAACUUAAAAAGGCUAGUCCUUAUCUCAUAAGGAUUUUUAUAUUUUCAAUCUGAUUAUUUUUUAUUAAAAUCAAACUUAAUUGAUAGGAUCUUAGUCUCUUUUGACAAG
rnacentral:lncRNA from 1 species